GAUGAACGCUAGCGGCAGGCUUAAUACAUGCAAGUCGAGGGGCAGCAUGAAUGUAGCAAUACAUUUGAUGGCGACCGGCAAACGGGUGCGGAACACGUACACAACCUUCCUAUAAGUGGGGAAUAGCCCAGAGAAAUUUGGAUUAAUACCCCGUAACAUAAUGAUGUGGCAUCACAUUAUUAUUAUAGCUACGGCGCUUAUUGAUGGGUGUGCGGCUGAUUAGAUAGUUGGCGGGGUAACGGCCCACCAAGUCUACGAUCAGUAGCUGAUGUGAGAGCAUGAUCAGCCACCCGGGCACUGAGACACGGGACCGACUCCUACGGGAGGCAGCAGUAAGGAAUAUUGGUCAAUGGACGCAAGUCUGAACCAGCCAUGCCGCGUGAAGGAUUAAGGUCCUCUGGAUUGUAAACUUCUUUUAUCUGGGACGAAAAAAGGCUAUUCUUAGUCACUUGACGGUACCAGAUGAAUAAGCACCGGCUAACUCCGUGCCAGCCGCCGCAGUAAAAC
rnacentral:rRNA from 1 species